rnacentral:rRNA from 1 species
AACGUAGACGGCAAGGCAAGUCUGAAGUGAAAGCCCGGUGCUUAACGCCGGGACUGCUUUGGAAACUGUUUGGCUGGAGUGCCGGAGAGGUAAGCGGAAUUCCUAGUGUAGCGGUGAAAUGCGUAGAUAUUAGGAAGAACACCAGUGGCGAAGGCGGCUUACUGGACGGUAACUGACGUUGAGGCUCGAAAGCGUGGGGAGCAAACA